CUUCGCCAUCUUUUAUCCUUUAUUCUUUUGGUGAAGUGCAAUUUAGUUUUGCGUUUUCCAGCUACACCAGAUCUACGCGUAACCUCACCUCUCUCUCUCUCUCUCUCUCUCUCUACUACNCCUCUCUCUCUCUCUCUCUCUCUCUAAUUAUAGAUACAUGCAUUUGUAAUUGUAAGGAAUAGGAAGCUCCCAAAAUGAGCAAAGCUUCAUUGAUCGUCUACAUCACUGUGGCCGUGGUCGUCCUACUCCUAAUCUCCCGC
rnacentral:lncRNA from 1 species